AGUGAACGCUGGCGGUAGGCCUAACACAUGCAAGUCGAACGGCAGCACAGUAAGAGCUUGCUCUUACGGGUGGCGAGUGGCGGACGGGUGGGGAAUACAUCGGAAUCUACUUUUUCGUGGGGGAUAACGUAGGGAAACUUACGCUAAUACCGCAUACGACCUACGGGUGAAAGCAGGGGAUCUUCGGACCUUGCGCGAUUGAAUGAGCCGAUGUCGGAUUAGCUAGUUGGCGGGGUAAAGGCCCACCAAGGCGACGAUCCGUAGCUGGUCUGAGAGGAUGAUCACCAAAACUGGAACGGAGCCACGGUCCAGACUCCUACGGGAGGCAGCAGUGGGGAAUAUUGGACAAUGGGCGCAAGCCUGAUCCAGCCAUACCGCGUGGGUGAAGAAGGCCUUCGGGUUGUAAAGCCCUUUUGUUGGGAAAGAAAAGCAGCAGGUUAAUACCCCGCUGUUCUGACGGUACCAAAAGAAUAAGCACCGGCUAACUUCGU
rnacentral:rRNA from 1 species